GAUGAACGCUAGCUACAGGCUUAACACAUGCAAGUCGAGGGGAAACGAUAUUGGAAGCUUGCUUCCGAUAGGCGUCGACCGGCGCACGGGUGAGUAACGCGUAUCCAACCUGCCCAUCACUUGGGGAUAACCUUGCGAAAGUAAGACUAAUACCCAAUGACGUCUCUAGAAGACAUCUGAAGGAGAUUAAAGAUUUAUCGGUGAUGGAUGGGGAUGCGUCUGAUUAGCUUGUUGGCGGGGUAACGGCCCACCAAGGCGACGAUCAGUAGGGGUUCUGAGAGGAAGGUCCCCCACAUUGGAACUGAGACACGGUCCAAACUCCUACGGGAGGCAGCAGUGAGGAAUAUUGGUCAAUGGGACGCGAGUCUGAACCAGCCAAGUAGCGUGAAGGAUGACUGCCCUAUGGGUUGUAAACUUCUUUUAUAUGGGAAUAAAGUUGUCCACGUGUGGAUUUUUGUAUGUACCAUAUGAAUAAGGAUCGGCUAACUCCGUGCCAGCAG
rnacentral:rRNA from 1 species